GGCGAAGUGAAAUGCGGGCCAAAAAGCCUCAGGAUUUGGAAAUUCUGGCGUCAUUCUCUGGCGUCCGAGUUGUAGUCUGUAGAGGUGUAUUCGAGUAUGGCUUUGGCUUAAGUUCCUUGGAACAGGACGUCAUAGAGGGUGAGAGCCCCGUUAGCGGCCUUUGUCUUAUGCUCAUGUGAAUCUCCUUCAAUGAGUCGAGUUGUUUGGGAAUGCAGCUCUAAAUGGGUGGUAAAUUCCAUCUAAAGCUAAAUACUGGCAAGAGACCGAUAGCGCACAAGUAGAGUGAUCGAAAGAUGAAAAGAACUCUGAACAGAGAGUUAAAUAGUACGUGAAAUUGUUGAAAGGGAAGCACUUGCGACCAGACACACUUGCAGUUGAUCAAUUCUCAUUUUUGAGGAUGCACUCGGCUGUCUGUGGGUCACCAUCAGUUAUGGCGGUGGGAAAAAGACCAAGGGAAUGUAGCUCCUUUCGGGGAGUGUUAUAGCCUGUAGUGCAAUGCUGCCUGCUGUGACUGAGGACCGCGCGAGGCGAGGAUGCCGGCA
rnacentral:rRNA from 1 species